rnacentral:rRNA from 1 species
AUUGAACGCUGGCGGCAGGCCUAAAACAUGCAAGUCGAACGAGCGGCGGACGGGUGAGUAAUGUCUGGGAAACUGCCUGAUGGAGGGGGACUACUACUGGAAACGGUAGCUAAUACCUCAUACCAUCAGAUGUGCCCAGAUGGGAUUAGCUAGUUGGUGGGGCAACGCAUCACCAAGGCGACGAUCCCUAGCUGGUCUGAGAGGAUGACCAGCCACACUGGAACUGAGACACGGUCCAGACUCCUACGGGAGGCAGCAGUGGGGAAGAUGGCACAAUGGGCGCAAGCCUGAUGCAGCCAUGCCGCGUGUAUGAAGAAGGCCUUCGGGUUGGAAAGUACUUUCAGCGGGGAGGCGUUACCCGCAGAAGAAGCACCGGCUAACUCCGUGCCAGCAGCCGCGGUAAUAC